UACGUAGGGCGCAAGCGUUGUCCGGAAUUAUUGGGCGUAAAGAGCUCGUAGGCGGUUUGUCGCGUCUGUCGUGAAAGCUUGGGGCUUAACCCCAAGUCUGCGGUGGAUACGGGCAGACUAGAGGCAGGUAGGGGAGAACGGAAUUCCCGGUGUAGCGGUGAAAUGCGCAGAUAUCGGGAGGAACACCGGUGGCGAAGGCGGUUCUCUGGGCCUGUACUGACGCUGAGGAGCGAAAGCAUGGGGAGCGAACAGG
rnacentral:rRNA from 1 species